rnacentral:rRNA from 1 species
GUCUACAGCCAUGCCUCCCUGAACGUGCCCAAUCUCGUCUGAUCUCGGAAGCUAAGCAGGGUUGGGCCUGGUUAGUACUUGAAUGGGAGACCACCGAGGAAUACCAGGUGCUGUAUGUG